GUCCAUGAUUAAAUCACGAAUAGGAAGUGCCCUCAGCAGUGAUAACUGACGAUGAACCUGGCUGAUG
ensembl:snoRNA small nucleolar RNA SNORD49